CUCUUUCUCUACAGAAAUUAAAAGAUUAGCCAGAUGCGAUGAAGUGCACUUGUAGUCCCGGCUACACGGGAGACUGAGAUGGGAGGAUCACUUGAGCCCAGGAAGUGGAGGUUGCAGUGAGCUAAGAUCGUGCCACUGCACUCCA